UACGUAGGGUGCGAGCGUUAAUCGGAAUUACUGGGCGUAAAGGGUGCGUAGGCGGCUCCGCAUGUCGGGCGUGAAAUCCCCGGGCUUAACCUGGGAAUUGCGUCCGAAACUAUGGAGCUGGAGUGUGGCAGAGGGAGGUGGAAUUCCACGUGUAGCGGUGAAAUGCGUAGAGAUGUGGAGGAACACCGAUGGCGAAGGCAGCCUCCUGGGCCAACACUGACGCUCAUGCACGAAAGCGUGGGGAGCAAACAGG
rnacentral:rRNA from 1 species